rnacentral:lncRNA from 1 species
UUUAUCCUAUUUCUUAUUCUUAAAUAAGGAACCGGUAAAAUACCAAUGAAAAUUAUACUACUGAAAUAUAGAUGGCGCAAUAUAAACCAGGAUUUAAAUUUUGACAUAGGGCAUUCGAGUGAACAGCUGAUUAUCCACACCAGUGCAAGUGGAAAUGACAAGGUUAUGAAUUAAAGAAAGACAAGAUUAUGGGGAAGAUUUAUGUACGAAAUAAAGAUGUUCGUUAGUGUAGAAGAUGGCAGAGUUAGGUUCAACAAAUUUUGAUCUAUUAGAAAUAAAAACUCGUAGUAUAGAACAGACUCUCCUUCCUCUUGUUAAACAGCUAUGAUGUCAUCACCGUUUCCCUUAUGAGGACAUUGAUGAUUUUAUGUGGAACAUUCAAUACCUUUAGAGUUUGAGCAGAUCAACUUUAGAGCUGAGUUCUCAUAUACCAAUAGUUGAUAAGUGGAUUGGUGACAAAACACUGUAAUUAAACUAAGAAAAAUAUUUGAAUAAUAUAUUAAUUUAGCUUAAAAUAGUGUAUGUUUUAUAAAUCCUAGUAUUUUCUUAAUUUUUUCAAUACUUAGUCAGUUAUUGUGCAAUUACUUAAUAUAAAUAAAAUUUUACUAGUUUGCAGAA